GAUGAACGCUGGCGGUACGCUUAACACAUGCAAGUCGCACGAGCAGCAAUGUUAGUGGCGGACGGGUGAGUAAUGUACAGGAAUCUACUUUUUGGUGGGGAAUAGCUCAGGGAAACUUGAAUUAAUACCGCAUAAUGCCUUCGGGUGAAAGUCGCAAGACGCCAUUAAAUGAGCCUGUAUCCGAUUAGCUAGUUGGUGAGAUAAAAGCUCACCAAGGCGACUAUCGGUAGCUGGUCUGAGAGGAUGAUCAGCCACAGUGGAACUGAGACACGGUCCACACUCCUACGGGAGGCAGCAGUGGGGAAUAUUCCGCAAUGGGCGCAAGCCUGACGGAGCGAUACCGCGUGUAGGAGUAAGGCCUUAGGGUCGUAAACUACUGUCGGUGGGGAAGAAACAAAUGACGGUACCCACAAAGGAAGCACCGGCUAACUCUGUGCCAGCCGCCGCCGUAACAC
rnacentral:rRNA from 1 species